rnacentral:rRNA from 1 species
GCUGUCCUUAGUACGAGAGGACCGGGAUGGACCAACCUCUGGUGCACCAGUUGUCACGCCAGUGGCACAGCUGGGUAGCUAUGUUGGGACUGGAUAAACGCUGAAAGCAUCUAAGCGUGAAGCCAACCUCAAGAUGAGAUUUCCCAUAGCGUAAGCUAGUAAGACUCCUGGAAGAACACCAGGUUGAUAGGUCAGGGAUGUAAGCAUGGCAACAUGUUAAGUUGACUGAUACUAAUAAGUCGAGGGCUUGACCAA